UACGUAGGGUGUGAGCGUUAAUCGGAAUUACUGGGCGUAAAGCGUGCGCAGGCGGCUUUGCAAGACAGAUGUGAAAUCCCCAGGCUCAACCUGGGAACUGCAUUUGUGACUGCAUGGCUGGAGUGCGGCAGAGGGGGAUGGAAUUCCGCGUGUAGCAGUGAAAUGCGUAGAUAUGCGGAGGAACACCGAUGGCGAAGGCAAUCCCCUGGGCCUGCACUGACGCUCAUGCACGAAAGCGUGGGGAGCAAACAGG
rnacentral:rRNA from 1 species